AGAAAGCGUAAUAGCUCACUGGUCGAGUCGGCCUGCGCGGAAGAUGUAACGGGGCUAAACCAUGCACCGAAGCUGCGGCAGCGACACUGUGUGUUGUUGGGUAGGGGAGCGUUCUGUAAGCCUGUGAAGGUGUGUCGUGAGGCAUGCUGGAGGUAUCAGAAGUGCGAAUGCUGACAUAAGUAACGAUAAAGCGGGUGAAAAGCCCGCUCGCCGGAAGACCAAGGGUUCCUGUCCAACGUUAAUCGGGGCAGGGUGAGUCGACCCCUAAGGCGAGGCCGAAAGGCGUAGUCGAUGGGAAACGGGUUAAUAUUCCCGUACUUGGUGUUACUGCGAAGGGGGGACGGAGAAGGCUAUGUUGGCCGGGCGACGGUUGUCCCGGUUUAAGCGUGUAGGUGUGUGUUCCAGGUAAAUCCGGUUCACUUUAACACUGAGGCGUGACGACGAGGCACUACGGUGCUGAAGCAACAAAUGCCCUGCUUCCAGGAAAAGCCUCUAAGCAUCAGGUAACAUCAAAUCGUACCCCAAACCGACACAGGUGGUCAGGUAGAGAAUACCAAGGCGCUUGAGAGAACUCGGGUGAAGGAACUAGGCAAAAUGGUGCCGUAACUUCGGGAGAAGGCACGCUGACACGUAGGUGAAGUGAUUUACUCAUGGAGCUGAAGUCAGUCGAAGAUACCAGCUGGCUGCAACUGUUUAUUAAAAACACAGCACUGUGCAAACACGAAAGUGGACGUAUACGGUGUGACGCCUGCCCGGUGCCGGAAGGUUAAUUGAUGGGGUCAGCGCAAGCGAAGCUCCUGAUCGAAGCCCCGGUAAACGGCGGCCGUAACUAUAACGGUCCUAAGGUAGCGAAAUUCCUUGUCGGGUAAGUUCCGACCUGCACGAAUGGCGUAAUGAUGGCCAGGCUGUCUCCACCCGAGACUCAGUGAAAUUGAACUCGCUGUGAAGAUGCAGUGUACCCGCGGCAAGACGGAAAGACCCCGUGAACCUUUACUAUAGCUUGACACUGAACAUUGAGCCUUGAUGUGUAGGAUAGGUGGGAGGCUUUGAAGUGUGGACGCCAGUCUGCAUGGAGCCGACCUUGAAAUACCACCCUUUAAUGUUUGAUGUUCUAACGUGGACCCGUUACCCGGGUUGCGGACAGUGUCUGGUGGGUAGUUUGACUGGGGCGGUCUCCUCCUAAAGAGUAACGGAGGAGCACGAAGGUUGGCUAAUCCUGGUCGGACAUCAGGAGGUUAGUGCAAUGGCAUAAGCCAGCUUGACUGCGAGCGUGACGGCGCGAGCAGGUGCGAAAGCAGGUCAUAGUGAUCCGGUGGUUCUGAAUGGAAGGGCCAUCGCUCAACGGAUAAAAGGUACUCCGGGGAUAACAGGCUGAUACCGCCCAAGAGUUCAUAUCGACGGCGGUGUUUGGCACCUCGAUGUCGGCUCAUCACAUCCUGGGGCUGAAGUAGGUCCCAAGGGUAUGGCUGUUCGCCAUUUAAAGUGGUACGCGAGCUGGGUUUAGAACGUCGUGAGACAGUUCGGUCCCUAUCUGCCGUGGGCGCUGGAGAACUGAGGGGGGCUGCUCCUAGUACGAGAGGACCGGAGUGGACGCAUCACUGGUGUUCGGGUUGUCAUGCCAAUGGCACUGCCCGGUAGCUAAAUGCGGAAGAGAUAAGUGCUGAAAGCAUCUAAGCACGAAACUUGCCCCGAG
rnacentral:rRNA from 1 species